rnacentral:lncRNA from 1 species
CAAAUAUCAGGGCAGUUCACAGGUAGCCAACACAGGGAACACAUCAAGGAUUGUUUACGCUUCAGCUAUGAAUUACUUGAUAUCAUAGAAAUGUCAAGACCACCGGACUUACAAAGAAAAGGAUUGCUGCCCUAGAUUAAACUGUUCAGCAGCAGAUAUAGAAGGGACUUACGACAUUUGCUAAAUGGCAACGUAAAGUACAGGGUAUGUGACGCAGGUCUUGCCACCACCACCACCACUACUACGAAGCGCGACACCAGCCACUCUCCACCGCCUCGCUAGGAACACGCUGUCCAGAUGAAGCCACUUCCACGUCACUUGGGAAGAAGGGACUCCCGGGGAAGCGAGCGAGGUCGUGGAAGCAACAAGUAAAAGAAAGAAAAGUGGCAUAAUUUCCCAAAGAUUUUUUGUGAGGAUGAUGACAGAGCAUAGGGACACUGGCAACGUUGGAAGUAGCCAAUGCCAGUGACGCUGCUGUACGAAAGUUGCUGCUACGGAAAUUACCCUCUAUCUGUAGUAGGGCUUCAAGCGUGGUCGCUGAUAGAACCUUUUUCGAUGGCAUGCCUGUCGCUGGAGGGAUUAUUCGGUGUCCGUCGGCGCCACAUACUGAGUAAUGUUGGGGUGCCUCCCCGAGCCAAACUUGUAACAGUAAAGAUAUAAUUACUGGGAAUAACAUCAGUAGUCUUCUUUCAUCUACAGGUGAAUUCCGUGACGCAUGCCUGAAGUUGGGUUAAGAAAACUGGCAGAGACGACUCGGAACACCUAAUGGCUAAUAUAGCUCUCGUUGAUCUUGCUAACUGCAUGCUUUCCCUCCUUCCGCGACCUCGCUUCACAAGACUUUCUUCUUUCUCUCACCCCCUAUUCAGUUUACCUUAGUGCAAGACUGAAUUUAAUCAUUCAUCACUUUGUUAAUACACUGGAACUCCCUGCCUGCUUCUAUAUUCUUCCUAUGGCUUGAACUCAAGAUAUUCAUCCUCUGAUUUUGAUUAUCCUUCUGACUGUAUGGGGACAGGUACUUUUUAGUGGGCCUCUAAAUUUAUUUAGUCUUUUUUUGUUAUUUGCCUGUGUGCCAUCCUCUGCUUGCUGCUUCUCACUUAGCAGCAAAUACUUGGUACAGUGUAACUUACAAUUUGUGAAAAAUUACUUUUUAAAAUUUUAUACCCCUCAAACAGUGCUAACAUGAGAAUGUUAGGGAUUCGUCUACGUUAAGAAAAAAAUUGUCCCUGAACUGACACCAUUCAACCUGCCAACUUAAUAUCUUUUGAAUUUCUAAAUCCUUUGUUCAAUGUUUCAUAAGUGUAUAUGUAUGAUGUAACUUAAUUGUAUACAGUCCUUUUGACAGUCGCAUUUUCUAUGCGCCGAAAUGUUGGAAUGAAGAUAUUUUAUGAAGCUAUUCAUCUGUAAUGACAGUUUUCCUUGUUCAUGAUAGGCUAAAUCAAUGUUACUCUGAACUUAUUUCUGAACUUGUUCCACUCACAUCGUGAUAUUCCACAACAAGAUGUUUCCCAUAUAUUCGUUUUUUUUGUUACAAGCCUUUUCAUAUUGCUAAUGAGGUGCACAUAGGCACACGUCUGUGCAAGGAAUACCAGUUCCUCCUUUUCUCUAUUCACUCGC